UCCCGUGGGAGACCGCAGCGCCAUAAAUGUGUGUAGAGAAAAAGAAACAGAUGACUUGUUUUUACGAUGGCUCUUUGUUAAAGUGGUAUUUUAUGUAUGUAAUCCUUGGUAAAGAAACUAGGUUGCUAUUAAAAAAAAAACUAUUGUAGUUUUAGCUUUACUUUCUAUUUAGUUUUUUCUAGUUUCUAAUAGCAUUGAUUCGAAAUAGAGACUCAUUUUAGGAAGAGAAAUUGUAUUCCAAAUUCCCAGAUACUUAAUAAUGGGAAAGAAGAGAACUCAUUUUUCUCUCCGGUUUGAUUUGGGGAAGGAGUUUGAGUGAAGCAAGUUUUGUUUCUUGGUUUCUGUUCACACUGAAGAAAAACAAAAGGUCUCCAAAGAGGACUUUUGAAGAGUAAGACCCAGUGAUAAACCUCCAUGGACUGGUGUCUGCUCUGCUGAUCUACUUACCUUACUCUCAGUAUAGAAAGGAUUUCUCUCUGGUUGUUUGCAACAAAAUGGAUGAAGCUAGAAAGCAUCAUACUUAGUGAAAUAAACCAGUCCCAAAAGGACAAAUACCAUAUGUUCUCCCUGGCCUGUGAUAUCUAAUAGAGCACCUAAAAGGUAAUCUAUAGAAGUGAAAUUGACACUUUGAGAAGCAAUGACUUUGAAUAGCCCUUGUCUCGACUGUUGAGGAAGUUUUUUUUCUUUUUCCAUACUAUUUGUUGACCUCUACUUAACAUAGAGUUAGUUAAUCAUGUGUGUAUAAAGUUAAUUGAAAAUAGAUGUUAGUAAAAAAUAAGAAUGGGAAUAGGAGAGGGAGGAGGCAGAGAAGUGGUAGAGUAGGUGGGAGGGCAGGUAUAGUGGGAAGAAUCACCAUGUUCCUAAAGUUGUAGUUAUGAAAUAUAUGAAGUUUGUAUUCUUUAAAUAAAAGGUUUCUGGGGAAAGUAAAGAAAGGCUUUCUGAAAAAUGUUCCUACUCCAAGGCCAUACUAUGUUUGAAAUAUGAAUUAGAGCAGCUGCUGUUCUGCCAUUUGCAUUUGGGCUUUGGAGUCUGCUCUUGAGGAUACUCAGUAAAACAUUGGAGUCCAGGACUCUACAUUUUUAGAUUAUCCCCCAUGACCUGGGUGAAGGGAUUGAGGAAAUAUAACAAUGAGGACAUAGAAUGAUGAACCUGGUGACCGUUGUGGUACUUUCAUCUAUCCUGCUCACCUCUGGGUCUCCAUUCUGAACUCCACUAUAACUUAGGUAUCAGGGAAGAGAAAGUCUAAAGUCUUUCCUAGAGGCCAACUGUUGCCCACUUUGUGGGGAGGCUGCUUCACUAGUAGCUGAGUUGACAUGACACUAAGUCAGAGACACAGGACAGCUCAUCAACCAGAACUAACGUACUCAUUAGCAUGUUACCAGAUGCUGACAAAUGUUAAUGUCUGCUAUCAAAAACCCUCUUAGAUGUCAACCAUAUCCUUGUAUCUGGGGGCAGCUAAUAAGAUCAGCCAAACAGUGCCUAGAAUUAGAGUAUCUGUGCUGGAAUGGAUGCAUAAUCUCAAUCUUUGGCUUGAUUGUCCCAGUUAUUAAUGGUGGUAAAAAGACUUAGAUGAUGGUAAUCUGAGGGUUACCUAAAUUGUCUUGGUGUCAGCUGUUUUCCUUCCUUUCCUUCCCAUCCUUCCUUUUCUCUUUCACCCUCUCCCACCACUUCGUGUAACCUUUAGUGUACAUGAGGUCAAAAUAUUGUGUUUUUCCCCUUUAUUUCUAGUCAUUUUAUUAUGGAAAUAGGCUAACACAAACCCCAUCACCUUGGUCUUCCCACCCACCUCCUCUCUUUCCCCAUUGGAGAGUUGUUUUUUAAUGAAAAAAAUCAAAAUACUGUUUUAUGGUGGGCCUGUAACCUAUGAUAUGGAUGAUUUCCAUGUUUAGAAAUACUCUUAGGUAACUUGAAGAUAGAAGAUGAGAAAAAUUACUGAGUUCAUUUUUAAAUUUUGCAUAAUAGGCUUCCUUUUAGUUACCCAUUCCUAUUUUCAUGCAGGAUAUUAAGCUGUGCUUCCAUGUUAAUGAUAAUCUUGCCACUUAGAGCGUUUGCAGACCUACAUGUGGAAAGAUGUGUUGAAGAACCUUUUAUGAUUUCCUAAAAAGAAAUUGUUUUCAUUAUUCAGUCCACAUGUGAAAAAGUCUAUUGUAUUAGUAAUGUAUUAUACCACCACAUAAAUGUUUAGAGGAUGAAUGGCAAUCUUAAUAAAACAGAAGAUGGCUUUCAUAUCUUAGUUAUCCUUAGGGAAGGGAAUGAAUAAUUUGACACACCUCUUGUUACCCAUUGAUCAGCCAAAGUCAAUUAGAUAUCCUGCAGAAUCUGUCCAUUGUUCCAUGAAUGGAUGUAGAGAAGAGCAUCAUAACACUGUGGGUAGCUUGAAGGAAGUCAGAAUGCAAAAGAAAUGAGUAAGACAGUUAAAGAAAAAUGAUCUGAAAAGUAAAGGGAUAAGAAAUAAAUUUUUAAUUUCUGACAAAUAUAGAGUGGCAUUAUAGGAUGAUUUCUAUCACUCUGCAUGAGAAUAUUAAUUAAUUGACCUAAAACUUAUGAGAGGUAUUUGAUUGCGAAUAUGUUUGUGAAUAGUUUCCCAAUUAUAAAUUAUUUUCUGUUGAAGUAAUUUUGUGAAUAUAACAAAAGAUUAUUCAUGAGAGAGCUUUUCAUUGUUUCACAUGACUGUUAACACGGUUUGUUCAAAUAAUUUAUUAAUAAUAAACUCAUUAAUAAUUGAUCAUUUAAGAUCAGAAGAAAAUUGUUAUUCAAUCUAAUUUCCAUAUUUAUGAAUUAGGAAAUAUUAGCUAUUUAUAUUAAUCUGUCUUUCAUAUUAAAGAUGAAAUUAUCCAUUGAUAUAUUGUACAGUUUCUUUUUUACCAUAAUAUGUUUUCAACAUGGACUUUGUAGCAGGUUAUGUAAAUCUUAAAUUUGAACUAAAUGGUAAAGGACUGUGCUUGCUAACAUGAUAAUAGUAGACCAUGAUACUUUCCCUUUUCUCUUUUGUAGUUCCUGCAUGAAUUUUUUUUUGUAGUUUACAGAUUCCUAAAAAUGUUGAUUUUACUUUAUGUAUAUGCCAUGAUAUUUUUAUGGGGGGAAAUGCAAUUCUUUAUGAAGUUAGGACAUAAAUAUAUGUAUGUAUAUGUGUACACACACACACAUAUAUACAGUUGUGAACUUUUUUCCUUUUUUUUUAGAGAGGCAGAUGUCUGAGCAAGAGAUGGCUGCAGCAGUUACCUCGUAUUUUAAUGAAAUAAAUCUGUAUUUACAGUUUGCAGUAAUUUAGUCCUUUCAUCACUCCGUGGAGCUCCCAUGGUGUUCAUUGAGUACAGCUGCUGGGCCUCUGGUUUUAGUACAUCUUUGUGCCUCAGGACCCCAGCAUGCUUAGCAUCCAGAUGUGGUGACAUAUUCACACACAUCCUCUGUGGAAAUGUGCCAGAGUGGACAUACGAUUGUCAUCAAUUAGUUAUGCCCAAGUGGUGCCAAGAAAAAUUGCAUCUGUCAUGCAGUCUGGCGGGUUUCAUGGCCCAUGAUUGAUUUAGAGACACUCCUGUUUUUCUUUACCUUGGCCAUAGCCAUAACAUGCUCACAAAGAGCUCAGAUUAUAUAAUGGAGCAUAUGACAUUUCAUCACAAGAACUCGUUUUAGAACGUCAUCAAAGUUCAUGGACUUAGCCUUUAUUUAGUAGCCAAAAUAUUAUUUCUUGAUUGUACAGAAUGGCUGUGCAGCUUGCCUCAUUUUACGUUUGGUCUCUGAAAGCAUUUUAUGACAAAAUUUUAGGAAACAAGAGGUCAAGCUUAUUUUCUCUUUACUUCCCAAUCUUUGUUUGAUUAUAUGAAUAUGAUAGCUUUUUAUUAUAAAGCAGAGAUAAUGUUAGAAAGGGAUGAAUGUUUUGUUUGCUUUUGUAAUUAAUCACUUCUUGAUUUUCUUUGUAUAAAUCAUUAUUGCUUGUAUUAUCACAGAGGUCUUUUGAAUUAUGAAAAUACUUUUAAUCUUUUUUUAUUGACAUUAUGAUUGCAUGUUAAUAAUUUAUAAAUAGGGAUUUAUUAUUAUGGGAACUUAAAGAAUAAAAAUGCUUCAGAAAGCUUAUGGAAAUGGGAAUCAAUCAUAAAUGUAUUUUGGUACAAAGAAAUUUUGAAAUCCAUGCAUAGUUUUUUCAUAAUUUGUAUUUCCAUAAACUUCUUGAAGAUUGCACAUAUGCUUGGAUUUCAAAAUUUUUUGCAAGAAAUAAUAUUUUUCUUUUUUUAAAAGUUAAUUACUUCCUUAGAAUUUAUAUAUUUAUUCAAUUUAUUUGAAAGACAGAGAUAGGGAUAGGAUAGAGAUAGAGAACAUGCCCCCAUCCACUGUUCACUCUCCAGGUGCCCACAGUAGUCAUGGCUAGAUGGGCCAAGGCCAGGAACCUGAAACUCAGUCUGGAGUAAAUCAGUACCCAAGUAAAUGGUAGGGACCUACCUACCUGAGCUAUUACCUAUUGUCUCACAGAACAGUCAUUCAGCAGGAAGUUGGAAUUGGAAUCAGGGCUGGGAUGGGAUGCAUUUGUACCAAGUGGUACUUUAACUGUUAUGCCAAACCUCCACCGUGAAACUUAUCUUAGUUCCAUUUUCCAUGAACCUUUUGUAGUUAGCUUGUACAAUAAUGUGUAAGCCUAGUUGAUGCUCUCAAAAGCUUAUAGCUAUAAAGAAAACCAAUCUAUAAACACACACAUCAAUGAAUGAAUUAUUUAAUGUGGUAGUGUGCUAAUAAAAAUACAAAUAGUGUAGAAAUAGGUUAACGAUGUUAAAGAGAGUUGUAAUUAGCUGCCCAGGUAUAUCUGGUAUAUUUUAAAUGUUUUAUACUACUCAUAAUAUGAAUUUUAUAUGGCUCUAAGAAGUCUCUCUCUCUCUCUCUCUCUCUCUCUCUCUCUGUAUAUAUGUAUUUCAUCCUCUAUCCAAACUCAUCUAAUUGCCUUUGAUAUUUGCAGUUUAAAUUUUUAUAUUCUUGUACAACAUAUAUAUAGGUUUAAAUAUGUUAUUUUUAUGAAGAAAUCAAUACUUUGAAGAUGCUUGAAGAUGCUAUUUUGUACAUCUAGUCAGAUUUGUCUGUGUUUCAUGGAUUUCAUGUGAUUCAAGUAAACAAAGUUUAGCUUUCUUGUAUUUGUUAUGUUUUGGAUGGAAGAAGAUCCAAGGCGUGCACAUUUGUAAAGCAAUAAAGGCACAGGCUUCUGAAGAGACUAUAAAAUAGAUGAGAUUGAAAAGCUGGCAUAGUUUUUGAGCAGAAAAAUAGACAGUGUUUAGCAGUUUCCUGUCAGCUUUGUAGUGCUUUUAUUUUUUAGACAUGACUGUCCAAAUCAAUGACCAUUUGAUGAACAAAUAAUUUUAUAGUACUUCGGGUACAUACUAUUCCCUGACCUGGGGAUGCAUCUUUGACUACAACAAAUCAGAAUUCCUAGUCUUGUAGAGCUUACAUUGACUGGUGGAUUAGUUAAUAGGCUUCAGAAUAUUCUGCAUUGAAAAUACUGAUCACCCCGUUGUGUGAUGCAGAUGCUAAUUCGUAAGAGAACAGCUAUAGAUUAUUGCAUCAGAAUUUCAUAGUUACGGCUGGUACUUUUUGGCAAUGGAUUAGCCAGUGCUUUCAGUUUUUUCAAAGAAUAUGAUGUGCUUUUUUGUACUUUGCACUGAGCCCACCUUCUUGAAAAACAUGGUAUCAGGAGGGUGGAUGUGAUUGGAUAAUUUGUAAAAUUGGGUUAACAAGUGAAAUUGGUGGAAGAGAAUAAAGAAAGUAUGUGUGUUCAGUUAGUCUACACAUUUGUUUAAUCUAUUGUAUAGCACUGCCAGGAAUCCCCCAAAUCAAAGUUUCUGAUUUGUUCCCAGCAAGUGACAAUCUUCAUUCCAGGUAUUUUUGCUUUAAAUAUCCACAGCAUAUUGGUAUGGUGGAAAGAACAGAAGGCUAUCGUAAAAGCCUAUACUUUAGGUGCUCUAGAAGGUCUGUUCCAGCCAUACCAUUCUAGGACCUGCUCCAUACAAACUCGUCAUAGGCAUGCCAAUGGCCUGAGGAAGAAACUCUCACUAUUGCUGAAACCAGUGUCUCUAACCAUUAGGGUGAUUUUUGACUUCUAGUUCUGGUAUUGGUUAUGAUAUGCUCUUUGAGCUUAGUGUCUUCAAAGACAUUCAUGUGAAAUGACAGAAUAUAAAUAAAUAAAAUCUUUCUUCCCAUUUCAUAUUCAAAUUCUGUAGUAUCUGUCUUUUAAUUUUCAUUUUAUGAUGCACAUUAGCCAAUGCAUUCCCAGAGCCAUUCGACAACAUCAUUAAAGUUAUUCAAGCAGAAAAAUCAAAUCAUGGAUAAUUUUAACUGAAUCUCUAAAAUAUGCCAGAAUAUAAUAUUCUACAACAUUAGUCACCAAUUGAAUUUUAGAUUUUCUUCUGAUAUCAUUCCUCAUAGUCUUGUGCUUUUGAAAUAAAAACAGUAUCAGUACAGUUUCAUGCAGUAUCAUACAGUUUCUACUCUGGGCCUGGUAGCUGGAUUUGGUUCAGUGAUGGAAAAGCCAGAUUGGGCCCAAUGUGUAAUUAGUGUCCUUGGAGUGUGGCAUGUAGUGUUGUGACAUGUUCUGUGGAGGACUGCAUUGCUGUUUGCAUUGGAUCAUUUAACCUGAUCCUCUUUAGAUGACAUCUCUCAUCUCUCUGGGUGUCCUCUGUGUCUCAGGCCACUUGUAUAGAUGGAAAAUGUGACUGUAGCCUGUCAGACAUUUCCUCAUUCACUUUCAUAGAACAGGCUGUAUUAUUCUGUAUUAAAAAAAAAAAAACUGUACCUCUGAAAGUGAAUGAGGAAAUGUUUUUUUUAAGGUCUUUGACUUUCUUUUCUUUUUUUUUAUUUUUUAAACUUUUAUUUAAUGAAUAUAAAUUUCCAAAGUACGGCUUAUGGAUUACAAUGGCUUCCCCCCCAUAACGUCCUUCCCAUCCACAACCCUGCCCCUUCCCACUCCCUCUCCCCUUCCAUUCACAUCAAGAUUCAUUUUCGAUUCUCUUUAUACAGAAGAUCAGUUUAGCAUACAUUAAGUAAAGAUUUCAACAGUUUGCUCCCACACAGAAACAUAAAGUGAAAAAUACUGUUUGAGUACUAGUUAUAGCAUUAAAUCUCAAUGUACAGGGCCAGCGCCACGGCUCACUAGGCUAAUCCUCCGCCUGGCAGCGCCGGCACACUGGGUUCUAGUCCCGGUUGGGGUGCCGGAUUCUGUCCCGGUUGCCCCUCUUCCAGGCCAGCUCUCUGCUGUGGCCAGGGAGUGCAGUGGAGGAUGGCCCAAAUGCUUGGGCCCUGCACCCCAUGGGAGACCAGGAAAAGCACCUGGCUCCUGGCUCCUGCCAUCGGAUCAGCGCGGUGUGCCGGCCGCAGCGCGCCGGCCGCGGCGGCCAUUGGAGGGUGAACCAACGGCAAAAGAAGACCUUCCUCUCUGUCUCUCUCACUGUCCACUCUGCCUGUCAAAAAAAAAAAAAAAAAAAAAAAAAAGAAAGAAAGAAAAUAAAAAAAUAAAAAAAUAAAAAAAAUAAAU